UACGAAGGGGGCUAGCGUUGUUCGGAAUUACUGGGCGUAAAGCGCGCGCAGGCGGUUUUUCAAGUCAGUGGUGAAAGCCCGGAGCUCAACUCCGGAACUGCCAUUGAAACUGUAAAACUUGAGGAUGAGAGAGGUGAGUGGAAUUCCCAGUGUAGAGGUGAAAUUCGUAGAUAUUGGGAAGAACACCGGUGGCGAAGGCGGCUCACUGGCUCGUAACUGACGCUCAUGCACGACAGCGUGGGGAUCAAACAGG
rnacentral:rRNA from 1 species